rnacentral:lncRNA from 1 species
AAUGGAGGAGGUGGAAGGCAAUGAUGAAACAAGGGAUAGAGGUAGUGACAGUGGAGAAUCAAGGGGGAGAAGGGAUGGAAAUAGGAGAAAGGGAUGAGACUUUCAAGUGAUUUUGCGUGCUAUCAUAUAGACUGUUCUGUGCAUGGCAAUGGAUCCAUGAUCCUUUCCGGUGAUCUUGCUCAUGAUUGUCUCACUCGAGCAAAGUUUUUGCCCUUGCUAGUCCAGUAGAGUGAGGAUCUCAUUCAGCACAAUUAACUCACUUGGCUAGUUGUUCGAGUACCAGCCUUGUUAGGCUAAGUCGACUCGGUUCCACUAAGUCAGGUUGGCUAGGCCUCACAUAUCUAUAU